rnacentral:rRNA from 1 species
GGGUGAGUAAUACAUGGGAAUCUGCCUCGCAGUACGGAAUAACUGUUGGAAACGACAGCUAAUACCGUAUAUUGCCGAGAGGUGAAAGAUUUAUUUGCUGCGAGAUGAGCCCAUGCGGGAUUAGCUAGUUGGUGGGGUAAUGGCCUACCAAGGCGAUGAUCUCUAGUUGGUCUGAGAGGAUGAUCAACCACACUGGAACUGAGACACGGUCCAGACUCCUACGGGAGGCAGCAGUGGGGAAUAUUGGACAAUGUCGAAAGCCUGAUCCAGCGACGCCGCGUGAGUGAUGAAGGCCUUCGGGUUGUAAAGCUCUUUUAGUAGGGAAGAUAAUGACGGUACCUACGGAAAAAGUCCCGGCUAACUUCGUGCCAGCAGCCGCGGUAAUACGAAAGGGGCUAGCGUUACUCGGAAUUACUGGGCGUAAAGAGUGCGUAGGCGGUUAUGUAAGUUAUAAGUGAAAUCCUUGGGCUCAACCUGAGAACUGCUUGUAAUACUGCAUAACUUGAGUAUCGGAGAGGAUGGUAGAAUUCAUGGUGUAGAGGUGAAAUUCAUAGAUAUCAUGAGGAAUACCGAAUGCGAAAGCGACCAUCUGGUCGAUUACUGACGCUGUUGCACGAAAGCGUGGGGAGCAAACAGGAUUAGAUACCCUGGUAGUCCACGCAGUAAACGAUGAGCGCUAGGUGUCGGGGGAGAUUUCCUUCGGUGUCGCAGCUAACGCGUUAAGCGCUCCGCCUGAAGAGUACGAUCGCAAGAUUAAAACUCAACGGAAUUGACGGGGACCCGCACAAGCGGUGGAACAUGUGGUUUAAUUCGAUGCUACGCGAAAACCUUACCAGGUCUUGCAUGACGAUUAUACUCCUAGCAAACUAGGAGGUCGGUUCGGCCGGAUCGUCACAGGUGUUGCAUGGCUGUCGUCAGCUCGUGCCGUGAGGUGUUUGGUUAAGUCCUGUAACGAGCGCAACCCCUAUCCUUAGUUACCAACAGGUUAUGCUGGGCACUCUAGGGAAACUGCCGGCGAUAAGCCGGAGGAAGGUGGGGACGAUGUCAAGUCAUCAUGGCCCUUAUGACCUGGGCUACACACGUGUUACAAUGGUAGUUACAAUGAGACGCAAUAGGGUGACCUGGAGCAAAUCUAUAAAAACUAUCUCAGUUCGGAUUGUGCUUUGCAACUCAAGCACAUGAAGUCGGAAUCGCUAGUAAUCGCAGAUCAGCAUGCUGCGGUGAAUACGUUCCCGGGUCUUGUACACACUGCCCGUCACGCCAUGGGAAUCGAUUUUACCUGAAUUACGUGCGCUAACCGAAAGGAGGCAGCGUAUUACGGUGAGGUUGGUGACUGGGGUGAAGUCGAAACAAGGUA